AGUUUGAUCCUGGCUCAGAUUGAACGCUGGCGGAUGCUUUGCACACAUGCAAGUCGAACGGCAGCACGGACUUCGGUCUGGUGGCGAGUGGCAGGGGUGAGCAAUGCAUCGUGGAACGUGCCUAGUAGCGGGGAUAACUACGCGAAAGGUAGCUAAUACCGCACACGGCCCUUCGGGGGAAAGCGGGGGGACCUUCGGGCCCUGCACUAGAGCGGCUGAUAUCGGAUUAGCUAGUUGGUGGGGUAACGGCUCUCACUACAGGACAUCCGUAGCUGGUUUGAGAGGACGACCAGCCACACUGGGACUGAGACACGGCCCAGACUCCUACGGGAGGCAGCAGGGGGAAUUUUGGACAAUGGGGGAAACCCUGAUCCAGCCAUCCGUGUGCGAUGAAGGCCUUCGGGUUGUAAAGCACUUUUGGCAGGAAGAAACGGCACGGGAUAAUACCCUGUGCAACUGACGGUACCUGCAGAAUAAGCACCGGCUAACUACGUGCCAGCAGCCGCGGAACACAGGGUGCAAGCGUUAAUCGGACCAUUGGGCGUAAAGCGUGCGCAGGCGGUUCGGAAAGAAAGAUGUGAAAUCCCAGAGCUUAACUUUGAACUGCAUUUUAACUACCGAGCUAGAGUGUGUCAGAGGGAGUGUGGAAUUCCGCGUAGCAGUGAAAUGCGUAGAUAUGCGGAGGAACACCGAUGGCGAAGGCAGCCUCCUGGGAUAACACUGACGCUCGCACGAAAGUGAUAAACAGGAUUAGAUACCCUGGUAGUCCACGCCCUAAACGAUGUCAACUAGCUGUUGGGGCCUUCGGGCCUUGGUAGCGCAGUUAACGCGUGAAGUUGACCGCCCGGGGAGUACGGUCGCAAGAUUAAAACCGUGUUGAAUGACGGGACCCGCACAAGCGGUGGACGAUGUGGAUUAAUUCGAUGCAACGCGAAAAACCUUACCUACCCUUGACAUGUCUGGAAUCCCGAAGAGAUUUUGGGGGAGUGCUCGCAAGAGGAACCGGAACACAGGUGCUGCAUGGCUGCCGUCAGCUCGUGUCGUGAGAUGUUGGGUUAAGUCCUGCAACGAGCGGCAACCUUGUCAUUAGUUGCUACGAAAGGCACUCUAAUGAGACUGCCGGUGACAAAAACUGGAGGAAGGUGGGAUGACGUCGCGCCCUUAUAUCUUUAUAGGCUUCACACGUCAUACAAUGGUCGGGGACAGAGGGUCGCUAACCCGCGAGGGGGAGCUAAUCCCAGAAACCCGAUCGGGGAACUGGAUCGCAGUCUGCAACUCGACUGCGUGAAGUCGGAAUCGCUAGUAAUCGCGGAUCAGCAUGUCGCGGUGAAUACGUUCCCAAGUCUGAAGACACUGCCCGUCACACCAUGGGAGUGGCUUUACCAGAAGUAGUUAGCCUAACCGCAAGGAGGGCGAUUACCACGGUAGGAUUCAUGACUGGGGUGAAGUCGUAACAAGGUAA
rnacentral:rRNA from 1 species